rnacentral:rRNA from 1 species
ACGUAGGAUCCGAGCGUUGUCCGGAAUUACUGGGUGUAAAGGGCGUGUAGGUGGGUCUUUAAGUCGGGGGUGAAAUCCUGCAGCUUAACUGCAGAACUGCUUCCGAUACUGAAGAUCUUGAGUACGGCAGAGGGAGAUGGAAUUCAUGGUGUAGCGGUGAAAUGUGUAGAUAUCAUGAAGAACACCGGUAGCGAAGGCGGUCUCCUGGUCCGUAACUGACACUGAGGCGCGAAAGCGUGGGGAGCAAACAGGAUUAGAUACCCUGGUAGUCCACGCCUUAAACGAUGGGUACUAGGUGCUGGGCCGCAAGGUUCAGUGCCAAAGCUAACGCAUUAAGUACCCCACCUGGGGAGUACGAUCGCAAGGUUG